GCCACUUCCUCUCGGUUCCAUAUUGAACUCGAGUUGGAAGAGGCGAGUCUGGUCUCAAA
ensembl:miRNA Gm22180 predicted gene, 22180